GACUCCCGAGCCCACUGGAACAGACGUCCAUAGACAUUUCCAUCAUAACAGCCAAGUGCUGAAUUCAAACACUGGUCGCUGAAGUCAAAUGCAUCAGUUAACAAGAUAGCAUCCUUCCUGAGACAGGAAACAAGACUCCCAUGGACCACACCCAAAGGUUCUCCAGGCUCUGCUUGAGGAGUGAAGUGAUGGUGAGCUGCCCCAGGACCCAGUUCUGUCUUGGAAAGCAAGAUGAAGACCAGAAAGAGAAGGUGGCCUUUAGGCCAUAGGGAUAAAGUAUGUCCUUAUCGCUGGGUAUCUCUUAAAUUUUUACACAUAUCAGCUCAGUCUUCAUAAUAAUCCUUAAAGUAGGUGCUGGUAAUAGCUCUGUGUUGUAAAAAGAGACAGGCUCCGAGACUUAAGUUCCUUGCCCAAGGUCAUAUGGCUGGUAAGUGGUGACAACAAGAGCCAAACCAGGGCUGUACUCCUAACUGCUACCUGUGCUGCCAAAGCCACCAGGGCCUGAAGCUGGGUUUUACCAAGCACCAGCAUUAGCUCCACGAUCCUAGGAACUGACAUCUCUCCUGGCAGAGCCUGACCUUAGAGGACCAAAGCCUGUCAGAGCACCUUUGUUGUACAGACUGGAAAGGUAAAUCCCGCAGAGGGGAGGGAGUGCUUGAGGUCAGAUGGCAUGUCACGCACACAGCUGGAAGACUAGAACUUGGCUCAUGGUUUUUCCUUGUCUAUCCACCUACCAGUUUUGUCCCCUGCCCCAAGUUGUAGUAAAGUCAUUCUCUACCUACACAUUUCCAGUUUCCAGAUGAGGCCUGGUUGGGCGCUUGAGGUUUCUGUAGAGUAGCGAACCCCACAAAGCACAGGAAGUAUAGAACCCCUUCCCACUGUGAUCUCGGAGACAGCUUGGCCACCAUCCCCCCAGGAAGGCUUUUAGACUCACUCUUCUCUCACAAGCUGACUGAGCUUCCCACAUUUUGUGCCCCUGAGCUUGAGGAGGACACAGCUUGCCUGUGGUGUGUGGCGCAGGAAGCCAUCUUGACUCAGCCAUUUUCUACUCUCUGACUUCAUGCCUAUGAGAUCUCUUUCUUCAUCCUUAGAGGAGAGAUUCUGCUGGUCUCCUGCACAGGCUCACAUGUGCUAAAUGAAGGAAACUGGCGAGCAGCGUCUGGCCUGUUCGAAGGCAGGGCUUAGGUUUAGAAAAUGAAUAAUGAGGGAUUGUGGUUCCUUUUUUGGUCAUCUGGUGAGAGUGCUGCCUGGGCUCACUCCAUGUUGACAGGGCAUUUAGUGUCCCUGUGGUGGGCUGUGGAGCUGAGAGCUGUGGCUACUGCCAGUGCCCACGAGUGUGGUGCAGGUGUUGGGUCACCAGGUGGUGCUCAUGCACAGCCUGCCAGCCAGUCCUGCCCUCCCAGGGCCUCUGCAGACCUUCAGGCCUCUCCUGCUUGGCAACCAUUUUGGGGGGUCCGAAGCCUGAUGAUUGGAGUGGCCGCUUUAGUCUUCAGUUGUUGGCAUAGCCAGGGUUCCAGUUGCCUAAGCUCAAGAGGCAUUCUUACUUCUUUCCCACCCCAUGACUCUUGAGGCCUGUUCCUUCCUCUACCCCUUUACUAUCUCUGCAUUUCCCCACUUCUCUCCGUGGCCUCUGCCAAGUUCAUGGUGGGGGCUGGUCCAGGCUGCAGCAGCUUCCUUCUGAUUAACUUCCAGCCUCCAGUCCAUUCCUCCCUCUGCAGCUUGCAUGAUCCUUCUGGAAGGAAACUCUGCUCCCUUCAUUUUUGCCUGAUGCAGACUCAGCCAUGGCUUCCCGUCACAAUGGAGACAAGACGCAGGCUUCUCACACUGCAGAAGGUCUCUCCUGUCUCCCCUCCCUGUCUACCCUCCUCUCCUUGAUUCUUCCAGCUUUGGCUCCUCCUGAAAGGUCUGCAUUUCCUCCCAAGCACUAGGACUUUUCCUGUCUCCUCUUCUUGUACCUGCUGCUCCCUUUGCUUGGAAACCUUCCUCUGUAAAGCUGCCAUCUGCCCCCCCCCAGCCCCCUCAUCCCCCACCACCCCCAGCAUGCUAAUUUCAGCUUAUCCUUGAAGCCUCAGCCUGUAUGCCACCCUUUCUGGGAAGCCUCAAGGUGAGUAGAGAUGCACCUUCCCCAGAAUCCCACAGCAGCCUAUAUUCCCCUGCCCAGCACUUCCUUGAUAGGUGUGGGCAGCAGCUUCACCGUUUGAGCACCGAGCCCAGGGCUGCUGCAGAGUGGGUGCUCAAAUAUUUGCCGACUGACUGUGAAUUAUGCACAAACACAAACCAUAGUGGAAAUUGAAUCAGACAUCCAAGGAUUGCCUGUGGGACUAAGGGGAAGCUUGACCUGCUUUUCUAUCUGGGAGGAAAUAUUUGAACAACCUGAAGCAAAUCCAAUAACACUGCCUCAUUACCUUUCCCCCCAAGAGCUGCCAGCAAGAUUGCUUUGGAGUUAAGUCCUUUAAUUAAAAUACCCUGGACUAAAGCCUUAGAAAUGAAAUGAGGGCAGCCGCUGAGGCGCAGGCUUGGGGAAUAAUGGCACAGCCUGGAUUUUCCCGGCAGGGUAGUCAGCUUGGAAAGACAAGCGGGUCCCUUGCAGCUUUGGCUGAUAGGCAACUCACCUUAGCAGCCUGGAGGAGCAUGACAGAAGUCUGGUUCCAAGCCUCCUGCUGGUCAGCCCCAGAUUGCGUGAGGGUCUGUAGAUGAUGCACCGAGUCCUCUAUGAGCCUGAAAACCAGAAAAGGGUCAGCUUCUUGACUGACUGGGAAAGAUAACUGGUAGCUAUGGGGGGCCCUCAGAAAUACAAAUUCUGUGUAGGACUUCUUAUGUGUCAUAAAGCUAAAUGCUUGAUAAACAUUCUCUCUCAAGGAAUACAUUUCCUGUUUACAGUGGGGAAAACCUGAGUGUCAGAGAGGUUAACCAAAUUCUCCAGGGUAACACACCUAGUAAGUAAGGAGUGGAGCCAGAAUUUAUUUUUGUUCCUUUUGGAACCCAGAGGUGCUUAACCACUGAGCCACAUCCCCAGCCCUUUUUAAUAUUUUAUUAGAGAUAGGGUCUAGCUAAGUUGCUGAGGCUGGCUUUGAACUUUUGAUUCUCCUGCCUCAGCCUCCCGAGCCAUUGGGAUUACAGGCAUGUGCCACCACUAUUGGCUUGGAUUUUUUCUUAACCACCACAUUUUAAAGCCUCAGAGAUUUGGGCCAGGAGCAUUCCCCUCUUUUUCAUGCACAUCCCAACCCAAUACCAAUGUUUUUAGGCCAUUCUGUUGUUUGGCUUCCUAUGAUCUAAGGAAGAAAACAAAACAAAACAAAAUUUGUUAAAUGUUAGUGAGGCCUGUUGGUCACCCAGCCUGCUGCAAGGAACCUAAAAACAAAACCAGAAAACUAACUAUUGUCCUCCAAGACACUAAGUUAGUCAUUUGCCAUUAUAUUAACCUUUAAUCCCCUUUUGUUGUUUGUUUCCUGCAUGACCAUCCAUAAGCCUUGAAACUUGUGUGUAAAGCAAACUAUUAAGCAAUAUUUAUUUUGCUUUGUCAGGGAGUACAUAAGCAGAUGUCACUCUGAGUUCCAAGCAAAGAGAAACACAAUGGCAUCUUAAUUACCCAGCAGUCUUCUUUCCCCCAGUCAGUUCUCCCAAGUGAAAGUCAGUUCUUUGAGGUCUGAAGGUUUAUUAGUGUAUGGAUAGAUCCCUACAUCUUAGAACAGUGCCUGGCAUUUUGUAGGCACUGAAUAAACAUUUGUGGAAUGAAUGAA